rnacentral:lncRNA from 1 species
AAAUCACAAACAGCAACAGCCACAUCGUUGUUCCUUUAAUGAUAGAAGUAUGUAAUUUUUUCAAAGAGACCGAAAUCGAAGUUCCGGCAGCUAGGAUUCCACUACGAACCCGACUACGGUGGUGAUUUGGGUUGUUGGUUCUGCGUCGGCUAGGGUUUCAAUUUAAAUCCGAAGACAGCGGUGAUUUCAGGUUGUCACUCUGAGGCCGGGAGCGGCAAUCGGAGAUUACGUUCACGAUCUCUCUGCGAUUCUUUCUGCAUGUUUGUUUGACGAUCCGUUGCUUUCCAAUUCAGAUUGUUUUUAUCAGUUUGACGAUUAACAAGCUAGGUGAAAGCUUGGGAACGAAGCAGGUCAAACGAAGCAAGAAUGACGGAAAAGCAUAAUUUGGAAGUAAGGUAAGUAUGGCUUACACUAGUCUUAUAUUUUAGAAUAUUCUCUUAUCGUAUUAGUUACGAAUAAGAUAAAUACAUAGUUGAGGUAUGAUGUUCCGGCGUGUAGACGUACAGAACAAGAUAGUCGAGCAUGACAAGAAACCAUGUUGAUGGUUUAAAAGGAGUUAAAUCGGUAAUUCGAUCAUUUUAUGACAAAUGGAAAAUGAACUUUUAAAUGGUUACCUUAUAGGGUAAACCAAAACAAACAAUAAGGGUAAAACGGUAAAUUGGUCACUCGUUGACCAUAACUAUUGGUUUUAAAAGACACUUAUGAAGUAAGCCUUAAUAGGCCGAAAGUGUUAAGAAAUGAAUUAUAAGUAAAACAACCGCACGAUGUAAAUCGGAGCGAGUCAUAUAGUCGAGAUGAAAAUACAUGUCAUCUCGCUAAUAUAAUCGGUCAUUUAGACCAAACGGGUCAAAGGGUGAAGAUACCACCUUUUGAUAAUAGCGACUAAUGAUUCUUGUCGAGUUAUAUAAUUUCAGGAAUAAAUGUAGAAAUGAUAUUUGCAUCGCUAUUAUUUGGUGAUUAUUAUAGCAAGGCAUUAAAACAGGUCAAUACAUUGACCCGAGCCAGGUGAUCGCCAAGAGUGCCCAGAUGAAGAUCAAGCUCGAAGAAGAACCGAACACACGAGAUUAAAGCUUCCGCACGGAGUUACGUCGUAACUUUUAACAACGAACUUAUUUAUAUAAUGUUGAAGACUUUUAAGUUGUAAACGUUUUAAAUUACUCGUAUUUUCCAAGGAUACUCAAUCGUAAUUACAUGUUUAUUUU